CGCAAGGCCUUCAUGCUAUAAGGAGCGGCCGAAGUUUGAUUAGCUAGUUGGUGGGGUAAGCCAUCCAAGCGACGAUCAGUAGCUGUCUGAGACGACGAUCAGUCACACUGGGACUGAGACACGGUCCAGACUCUACGGGAGGCAGCAGUGGGGAAUUUUGGACAAUGGGCGAAAGCCUGAUCCAGCAAUGCCGCGUGUGUGAAGAAGGCCUUCGGGUUGUAAAGCACUUUUGUCCGGAAAGAAAUGGCUCUGGUUAAUACCUGGGGUCGAUGACGGUACCGGAAGAAUAAGGACCGGCUAACUACGUGCCAGCAGCCGCGGUGAUACGUAGGGUCCAAGCGUUAAUCGGAAUUACUGGGCGUAAAGCGUGCGCAGGCGGUUGUGCAAGACCGAUGUGAAAUCCCCGAGCUUAACUUGGGAAUUGCAUUGGUGACUGCACGGCUAGAGUGUGUCAGAGGGGGGUAGAAUUCCACGUGUAGCAGUGAAAUGCGUAGAGAUGUGGAGGAAUACCGAUGGCGAAGGCAGCCCCCUGGGAUAACACUGACGCUCAUGCACGAAAGCGUGGGGAGCAAACAGGAUUAGAUACCCUGGUAGUCCACGCCCUAAACGAUGUCAACUAGUUGUUGGGGAUUCAUUUCCUUAGUAACGUAGCUAACGCGUGAAGUUGACCGCCUGGGGAGUACGGUCGCAAGAUUAAAACGCAAAGGAAUUGACGGGGACCCGCACAAGCGGUGGAUGAUGUGGAUUAAUUCGAUGCAACGCGAAAAACCUUACCUACCCUUGACAUGCCACUAACGAAGCAGAGAUACAUUAGGUGCUCGAAAGAGAAAGUGGACACAGGUGCUGCAUGGCUGUCGUCAGCUCGUGUCAUGAGAUGUUGGGUUAAGUCCCGCAACGAGCGCAACCCUUGUCUCUAGUUGCUACGAAAGGGCACUCUAGAGAGACUGCCGGUGACAAACCGGAGGAAGGUGGGGAUGACGUCAAGUCCUCAUGGCCCUUAUGGGUAGGGCUUCACACGUCAUACAAUGGUGCAUACAGAGGGUUGCCAAGCCGCGAGGUGGAGCUAAUCCCAGAAAAUGCAUCGUAGUCCGGAUCGGAGUCUGCAACUCGACUACGUGAAGCUGGAAUCGCUAGUAAUCGCGGAUCAGCAUGCCGCGGAUUGCU
rnacentral:rRNA from 1 species